UCGAGGGGUAGGGUAGCAAUACCUGAGACCGGCGCACGGGUGCGUAACGCGUAUGCAAUCUACCUUUUACAGAGGGAUAGCCCAGAGAAAUUUGGAUUAAUACCUCAUAGUAUAUAUCAUUCGCAUGUUUGAUAUAUUAAAGUUCCAACGGUAAAAGAUGAGCAUGCGUCCCAUUAGUUAGUUGGUAAGGUAACGGCUUACCAAGACGAUGAUGGGUAGGGGUCCUGAGAGGGAGAUCCCCCACACUGGUACUGAGACACGGACCAGACUCCUACGGGAGGCAGCAGUGAGGAAUAUUGGACAAUGGGCGCAAGCCUGAUCCAGCCAUGCCGCGUGCAGGAAGACGGUCCUAUGGAUUGUAAACUGCUCUUGUACGGGAAGAAACACUCCCUCGUGAGGGAGCUUGACGGUACCGUAAGAAUAAGGAUCGGCUAACUCCGUGCCAGCAGCCGCGGUAAUACGGAGGAUCCAAGCGUUAUCCGGAAUCAUUGGGUUU
rnacentral:rRNA from 1 species